UACAGAGGUCCCAAGCGUUGUUCGGAUUCAUUGGGCGUAAAGGGUGUGUAGGUGGCGCGCUAGGUCGGGUGUGAAAUUUCGGAGCUUAACUCCGAAACUGCAUUCGAUACUGGCGUGCUUGAGGACUGGAGAGGAGACUGGAAUUCAUGGUGUAGCAGUGAAAUGCGUAGAGAUCAUGAGGAAGACCAGUGGCGAAGGCGGGUCUCUGGACAGUUCCUGACACUGAGACACGAAGGCCAGGGGAGCAAACGGG
rnacentral:rRNA from 1 species